CUCGUCUGUCGUUGGAAGAUAAAAAGGAGAGGAGGUGUUUGUUCAUCGACAUCGACAUCGACAUCGACCACGAUAUAAUAACAAAUCAUAGAAAAGCUAUUCCAUUAAAUUGUUCCUAUCAAUUAUUUGCACGCACACGCCUCCCGAUCCCAGCCAAUUUCCGGAACCACGCCCAACGCACCGUCCCUUUCUUUCCUCUCUCUCUCUCUCUCUCGAUUUCGUGACGAAGAAUUCUCCCCUGCGAUUGAUCCCUGGAUCGAUGGAGUCCAAACUCGAUCAUUCCACCUGAGUCGGCGGUAUUCCAACCCCACGAUGGCCAAGAAUUCUUUCAAGUUGGAGCAUCCUCUUGGUUUGCGCCUCCAAUCCCUCUCCUCUCUCUCAACAAGUCAUCUUUUUCCUGUUAUGAUUUGGUUUCUGAACGAAUUCUGUUUUCUGUGGCAACUCUGCUUCUAGGAUUUCCUUUUUUGUUUUACUUUCUCUUUUGCUUCUUGUAUUUCUGUGGUCUCGGUUUGGUUCUUCCUCUUGUGGAAUAAUCUUUUAUGAUAUUUUUCAAUGGCAAUUGUUUGGUUUUCUUUUUUUUCUUUCUUUCUUUUUUUUUUUUGGUUUUUGGGGAGGAGAGGAAAUUGAAUAUAAAAAACAACAGGAAUUUCAAAAUUGCAUGAAAUUUAUAUUGAUGAUCCUUCUCUACAUCGAUAUGGAUCAGUUUAGAAUUAUGGUAAUUAUUCUUUUCUUGUUUGUUUUGCUCCAAGUGGACAAACAUGUAGCUGAUGAUUUAUUUACUACCUUCUUCUUUAUCAUUGUUUGAUUUUCUGCAUUUAAUUGCUGGCCAUUUUUGUUAUGCAGUUAGAUAGAUAUAUAUUUUUUGAGAAAUGCUGAACUCGGUGUGCAUCCAUUUUUUCUUGUUUGAGCAUGUAUGAUUUAUGUGUAUGUUUAAGUUCUUUGUGUUAUACAGUUAGAUGUGGCAUGAGCCACUGAACUUAGCGUGCAUCUUUCUUUCUUUUGUAAGGAUGGAUGAUUUAUGUGUACGUUAAGUUUUAUAUAUAAAUAUAUAUAUAUAUAUAUAUACAUAUAUAUAUAUAUAUAUAUAUAUAUAUAUAUAUAAAGGAUUCCAUAUACACAGAGUCUGUAAGUAUUCUUACUGCGUGGAUCGAUAUAGAAAUGUCAUAUUCACAGGAACACCUUAGAGAAUGAGCCUUGUGUUCGAGGAUAAGACAGUACCAUGACAUGACUCUACGGGUCGCAGGUGUUUUCGAACACCUUCGGAAGAGGAUUAAGCUGGGUGCAGACAGAGAAGGCCAUCUUCGUUUUUGUCAAGAACACAUUGUCACCUACAGCUGCAUUGAUGUCUGCCAUCUACGAGGAACACAAAGACGAAGAUGGUUUUCUUUCUUUACAUGACCUCUACAGCGGCGAGAGAACACAUUUGGCUCCUCCUAAGAUGCAGGAGCCAUCCUUGUAGAUAAAAAUCAUGGAAAGUUUAGCAUCCUUGUAGAUAAAAUUCAUGGGGAAUAUUAUCGAAUUUCAUGGCCAUACCA